rnacentral:rRNA from 1 species
AUUGAACGCUGGCGGCAUGCCUUACACAUGCAAGUCGAACGGUAACAGGGAGCUUGCUCCGCUGACGAGUGGCGAACGGGUGAGUAAUGUAUCGGAACGUACCUUUUAGUGGGGGAUAACGUAGCGAAAGUUACGCUAAUACCGCAUAUUCUCUGAGGAGGAAAGCAGGGGACCUUCGGGCCUUGCGCUAAUAGAGCGGCUGAUAUCAGAUUAGCUAGUUGGUGAGGUAAAGGCUCACCAAGGCGACGAUCUGUGGCGGGUCUGAGAGGAUGAUCCGCCACACUGGAACUGAGACACGGUCCAGGCUCCUACGGGAGGCAGCAGUGGGGAAUUUUGGACAAUGGGGGCAACCCUGAUCCAGCCAUGCCGCGUGAGUGAAGAAGGCCUUCGGGUUGUAAAGCUCUUUCGGCCGGGAAAAAAUCGCAUGGGUUAAUACCCUGUGUGGAUGAUGGUACCGGAAUAAGAAGCACCGGCUAACUACGUGCCAGCCGCCGCCGUAAGAC